UGGGGAAUCUUGGACAAUGGGCGAAAGCCUGAUCCAGCCAUGCCGCGUGUGUGAAGAAGGUCUUCGGAUUGUAAAGCACUUUAAGUUGGGAGGAAGGGCAGUAACCUAAUACGUUGCUGUCUUGACGUUACCGACAGAAUAAGCACCGGCUAACUCUGUGCCAGCAGCCGCGGUAAUACAGAGGGUGCAAGCGUUAAUCGGAAUUACUGGGCGUAAAGCGCGCGUAGGUGGUUUGUUAAGUUGGAUGUGAAAUCCCCGGGCUCAACCUGGGAACUGCAUUCAAAACUGACAAGCUAGAGUAUGGUAGAGGGUGGUGGAAUUUCCUGUGUAGCGGUGAAAUGCGUAGAUAUAGGAAGGAACACCAGUGGCGAAGGCGACCACCUGGACUGAUACUGACACUGAGGUGCGAAAGCGUGGGGAGCAAACAGGAUUAGAUACCCUAGUAGUCCCUGAGCGGGCUGGCAAGGCGCAU
rnacentral:rRNA from 1 species